rnacentral:rRNA from 1 species
GACGAACGCUGGCGGCGUGCCUAAUACAUGCAAGUUGAGCGCUGAAGGUUGGUACUUGUACCAACUGGAUGAGCAGCGAACGGGUGAGUAACGCGUGGGGAAUCUGCCUUUGAUCGGGGGACAACAUUUGGAAACGAAUGCUAAUACCGCAUAAAAACUUUAAACACAAGUUUUAAGUUUGAAAGAUGCAAUUGCAUCACUCAAAGAUGAUCCCGCGUUGUAUUAGCUAGUUGGUGAGGUAAAGGCUCACCAAGGCGAUGAUACAUAGCCGACCUGAGAGGGUGAUCGGCCACAAUGGGACUGAGACACGGCCCAAACUUCUACGGGAGGCAGCAGUAGGGAAUCUUCGGACAUGGACGAAAGUCUGAACGCGCAACGCCGCGUGAGUGAAGAAGGUUUUCGGAUCGUAAAACUCUGUUGGUAGAGAAGAACGUUGGUGAGAGUGGAAAGCUCAUCAAGUGACGGUAACUACACAGAAAGGGACGGCUAACUACGUG